AAUAUCUCAAUGCUUACCACAGGCUGUGUUCUUUACACUGACUGAAUAGAAAUAGAAGGUACAGUAAAUGCUCCCCUUAUACACCUUAAACCAGGCCAUUUACCUGGUGUGUAUUGUGAAUGGGGGACCAAAA